GAUAGUUCCUAAAUCAAUAGUAUUUCAUAGUAUUGACAUGGAACUAACAGGAGGCAUCAUUUAAUGAUGAAGCAGAAGUUAAUCAGGUUAUCUUACCCUGGAAUGUUACUCCAGUUCCAGGCUCUAAG
rnacentral:sRNA from 21 species